GACAGAGGGUGCAAACGUUGCUCGGAAUUACUGGGCGUAAAGCGUGCGCAGGCGGUUUGUUAAGACCGAUGUGAAAUCCCCGGGCUCAACCUGGGAACUGCAUUGGUGACUGGCAAGCUAGAGUAUGGCAGAGGGGGGUAGAAUUCCACGUGUAGCAGUGAAAUGCGUAGAGAUGUGGAGGAAUACCGAUGGCGAAGGCAGCCCCCUGGGCCAAUACUGACGCUCAUGCACGAAAGCGUGGGGAGCAAACAGG
rnacentral:rRNA from 1 species